rnacentral:snRNA from 1 species
GAAAUUGACGCUUUUAAAUCCUCAAAUCACUUUAAGAAGAUUAGUAUGGCCCUUGCGCAAGGAUGAUACAUACAAAUCAAAAAAUGGUCCAGGUUUUU